rnacentral:rRNA from 1 species
AUUGAACGCUGGCGGCAGGCCUAACACAUGCAAGUCGAGCGAGCGGCGGACGGGUGAGUAAUGUCUGGGAAACUGCCUGAUGGAGGGGGAUAACUCCUGGAAACGGUGUCUAAUACCGCAUACCAUCAGAUGUGCCCAGAUGGGAUUAGCUGUUAGGUGGGGUAACGGCUCACCAAGGCGACGAUCCCUAGCUGGUCUGAGAGGAUGACCCGCAACACUGGAACUGAGACACGGUCCAGACUCCUACGGGAGGCAGCAGUGGGGAAUAUUGCACAAUGGGCGCAAGCCUGAUGCAGCCAUGCCGCGUGUGUGAAGAAGGCCUUCGGGUUGUAAAGCACUUUCAGCGGGGAGGCGUUACCCGCAGAAGAAGCACCGGCUAACUCCGUGCCAGCCGCCACGGUAAUAC